rnacentral:lncRNA from 1 species
GCUGACACAAUAAGCCCUCAGAGGCAAACAGCCUGGGCAAGGGAUCGCCCGGUCGCAAAAGCAGUGUGUGCCUGGCCCCGCGUGGGUGAUUCCCCAGCCCUCGAACUGACUUACUGGUAACUGAAGGACAUCCCCCUCAUGAGCAGCACAGUUGGAGCCUGAGAAAGGUGCUUAUCUUAAGGGAGAAAUGUUUGGAGGCAACUCUGUACCAGAGGACAGGAAAUUUGUUCGCACUUGAGCUUUAGCUCCACCCUUGCCCUGCAGGGCAGGACAGUAAAUGAAUUGAACCUUGCCAGGAGGGGACGACGGCUGAUUCCCGGGGGUCACCUUAUACUCGGUGUGGGCGCAGCUCGAGUUGCGGCUCCAACAAGAGCAGAAAUGUAGAGCUAGAGGUAUUUUGGUUCAUUUCUGGGGAUUGGACCCAGGGCCUGACGAACAUUAGGCAAGCACUUUGUUGCUGAGCUGUACUUCCAGUCCCAAGUUUCAGAAUGUUUACAUGUUGACAGCUACUUAAUUAGAAAAGUUUUCAUAGGUGGGUCCAUCAGCAGGCCACCAUCAGUCCCCUGUGCAACAUGUGCAGUGAGAAACAACUGGUGUAUAGCACAGUGUGUACCUCAGAACCUCAGGUGGGAAGCGGGACAGAAAGCUGGAGGCCGAGUGAGGAGACCCAGAUCCCGGGCCUCCACCCCAAAGGCCCAUGCAAUUUGGCUCACACCCCACCCUGCACACCCACUGCUACCACACUGCUGAGGCACAGUGAGGCUUCCACACCAGUGUGGUGCCAGGCCUCUGAAGGGUGGGCUGUGCCUCCUGCACCCACGAGUCUGCUGACAUCACCCCAGCAACCUGUGGCGCUCCCCACAUCCCAGCCAUCGAAGGACGGAGCAGGGUUAAGGAUCAGCACCAAUGCAUCCCAACGUCCCUUAAGGGCAGUUUUCUGCAGCAAAGGACAUGGGAAAUGUGAGAGCCACAGUAGAGGCAGCUCAGUUACAACUGGUUUUUGCAAGAGGAUGCAGAGGGUUAGUGAGUGUGUUCUUCCCCUCGUCUUGCAUGUGCUAGAGGGAGUGGGAACAUUCACCUUGUUGUCCAGUGACUCAGGGCCAGUUUUCCUUAGAUAGCUCUAUGGGCUGGGGAGCACUGUAUAGCUCAGAUUUAGCACUUCAAAGCAAUAAAGUAAAAUAAAAUAAUAAAUAGCUCAUGGUUUUACAUGUUGCCCCAAGCAGUUAUGACUUGUGGUUUGAAAUAAAAAAUUAUAUCUAGCAUAAAAAGAGAAAGAGGGGUCAGGAUGUAGCCCAGCAGCACAGACACCUGCCUGGCAAGCUUGAGGUCCUGAGUUCGACCUCAAGGUCCUUUAGGUCUCCGGUACCAAAUAAAUAAAGAGAGAAAAAGGGAAUUAAAUUAAUUUAU